ACAAUGUUGCCAAUGGUCAGUGCUCACUGGAGUCAGCAGAUGCCCAAAUGGGACAGGAAUGUCACAUUCAGGCUGGCUGAACUGAGACGUCUGUACAGCCCUGGAUAGGCAUGACCUUAGGGAACAAGGGAGAGCCUCAAUUCAUUCUGUACCUCAGAGACUCAGAGUCAGGUCUGACCUGGCCAAGCCACCAUGAGUCAAUGCAGUUAAAGCACUGCCUGGCAAGAUCCUCGUUAAGACUGAAACGCUUGAGCCUCGACACCCCCAGCAUCACCGGAGGGGAACGAGAACAGCCAGAACAUCUAGUGCAGGAUUAAAAUCAAGUGGCUGCAGCUCUGGCCUCCACCACUGACUCCACUGUGAGGCACUGUUGUGAGCAUGAGCAGGUCUGCUCGUCACCCCGGGAAGCCCUCUCACCUCAGCUCCCUAAGCACUGCGAGGAAACUUCUAGGGACAUCUAGAAGAAAAGGCAUAGUUGGCUGCUUACCACAAAGCCUAAAACGCCCAGCACAGAACGCCAAGAAAAGGCCCAGAAUUUUCUAAUCAUCUGGAACGAAGGUUCAAGCUACCAAAGGAGCAGCGUCACCCCUGCAGCCCUGCUGCUUUCCUGUCAAUGCCUUCUUGCUAAGAGCAGGCUGACCAGCACCACACAGACAGACAGACUCUGAACCAGCGUGCACUUGCCAAGCUUUGGUCAGGCUCUGUCUCACCACUUCCUCCAUCCCGCAAAAACAACGCAAGCUAAAAGCUGCCAGCCGAGGAUGUUCUCAAGGUGGGCAUUUCCCCAUCCUUCCAACCGUGGGGCCAGCAGGAGCGGUCAGAGCAGCAGAGGGGUGCUCCCAGAUGACUCCAGCCCCGUUCUGCAGCACACUCACAGUCUCAGCCACUGGCCCAUCAAGAGACUCCCCACAAACUGAUCCAUCGUACCUGAAAUCCCACAUGAAGUCAGUCCCACACUCCUGAGGGACUUUCUGAUUGAUCCUGCACAGCAGUGAGACAGCCAUUGGACCGCCUAAGUUUCAAGAAAGCCAGCGGCGCAGAGAAGUGCUUCCAACUUAGAGGGCAGAAUUUCUGCACCCUCAGAAAAAAACUUCCUGGAAAACAAUAUGCCUUUUAUCUUCAAGAACACAGCAAAAAUCACAUCGAAGAAUUUGCAGAAACCAAAUCAGGGAAAAUCCUGCUGGAGGAAGUGUCAGAAAAAGCAACAAGGACAACCGUCAGAUCCAAACCUCCCCUCCAAAGAGACUAGUUCCAGCUAGUGCCUUCAAGGAUGCUCUGAGCCUGCUUCCCUUACAGCCGCACACCCAGACAUUUCUCCCUUGCUCCCUCGGAACCUCAGCCGCCAUAGGGGACACCUGGGAAAGGAGAGGGCCACAGAGGCCCAGCUGGGCCAAGACUGAGGCAUCCUCACCAUGGCAUGACCUUCAGUUGCCUCCUCCUCAGAGCUGCAGAGCUGCAACCACGGCCCCUUGCCUGCCUGUUUCGCAUCCUGCCCCCUCCCCAGGGGUGGGCACAAGCCCACUAGGAAGGAAAUUCAGAUGCAGGUUCUACAUCACCAGCACCGUGGGCCUCUCCCUGGCCAGGCUUCAAGUGGGGAGGACAAAGAAUGGGAGAAGAAUGCCUGCCUCCCAGAUUGACUUCAUCUCUUCAGAAGGGUCCUUCCUUCCCCUGCCUGGCCUUUUCAAAACUCUACAACCCUACAGACUGUAGGAUUCACGUGGGAAUUUUUUUUUUUUAAUCUGAAAAGUGAGACAAGCUCAUUCGUUGGGACAGUGAGGAUUAAAAUACGCAAAGUGCACCCACCAUGUUCUCCUCGGAAAACACUGGCACCCAAGUGCUCUUGUUCUUCACCUCAUAAAGCUCCGAGCGCUGGCUGGAUUAACACUGGACAUGGAGAGAGGCGACAGAGCCUCCAAAUCAUGGUCUCCGCCCGCCAGAGUCAAGAUGGGGUGACAUCUGACUCUCUACUAGUGGGUCAUUCAAACGACACACUAUGACAUCUGAAACACCUCCAGGGGCACAUGGUGUGAGGACGACAAAGUGCCCUCACUGGCGAGGGAGAGUCCUCUGCACACUCAAGAGUUUCACAAGUUUCCCCGUACUUGGCCAGUUUCCGUUUCUGAACUUCUGGGGCUUAGGUCCCAGUGCUGCCCCCUUGCCCUCUCCUUUGGGGGACCUUAGUUUCACAAGAGUCUAUACACACACAUCCAAUCUCGCCUGGGAUGGUCACUUGGAACCAUGAUCCUCAGGAAUGGGUCACACUGUCCGAAAGGUUUAGCAAUCCAAAUAACCCUACCUGUCAGCCAAGCCCCUGGGUUUCAGGAGCAAUCAUCUAGCAAGCCCUGCCUGUCCUCCAAAUCAAUAGCUCCUCACCCCCAAAACCAAACAAACAAACAAAAAAACUGUGAGGAUCUUCUCAAUUCCUCCAAGCAAUUUCCUCAUCUCUUUGUACCCAGACCCAAAUCCACUGGAGACUGGAUGUCCCCAUCCUGGUCCCCACCACCUCCAUAUUCAUUCUUAUACUAUCGUUCUGGAUGGUCUUGUGCCCUGCUAUAACUUCCUGCCCUUCUCUAUCACCGAAACUCCUUCACAUCGCUUCAGAACCUGCCCAGUAUUUUCCAGACUCCCCAUUCAAGGGCUGCCAAGUCCUAGGCAGGCGUCCCGAGCUUUUAUCAAAAGCCGCCUCUUUUGCACCUACUACUUAGGUACCGUGCCACUCCGGCCAUCCCCACCCAGCCAGCCCUGUUAUCUCAGUCCCCUAGGCUCUUCCUCCCUCCCCAUCACCCAAGCCCGGCCUUGACUUAAGUCCUUUUUUCUGCAACCAAUUAUUACAAUCCUUCCUCUGCUGCCUAAGGCAGCCACUGUCCAUGCCCCAGGUUCCGCCUCAGCACUCCUCACCACCACCUCAACUCCAUUCCAGGAGCUAGCUCCCUUAUCUGAUCUUCCCUGCCCCUUGGUACAUACAGCUCAGCCUCAAACCCCUCCCCACCGUCAGCCAACUCACCGGCGCUGCCUGCCCUUGUCCCACUGCUCCUUGGUCCCUUACACUACUCAGUCUGCCCCUCCAUCCCUCCUUGCGCCCACGGUAGGGUCACACCACAUCCAGCGCUCUCCAUUCCUCGGGCCCCUCCUCAUGCCCCCUCUGGCUCUCCCUGUCCCCUUGACCCCUCCUCAGGCCCUGUCCGGCCCGCACCGGUUCCUGGCCUCCUCUCUGGCCUAUUCGACCCCACCUCAGGUGCUGUCUGUCACCCUCUGGCCCCUCCGCCCCUGCUAGGCGGCCCAACAGCCCCAUCCGGUGUUCUCCAUCCCCCGGCAGGCGAUCUGCCUCCGCGGCCGUCAUCUCGACCCUCCCUUCCGCCUCGCUUCCGCACAGCCGACCCGACACUCACU